rnacentral:rRNA from 1 species
GAUGAACGCUAGCGGGAGGCCUAACACAUGCAAGCCGAGCGGUAGAGAUCUUUCGGGAUCUUGAGAGCGGCGUACGGGUGCGGAACACGUGUGCAACCUGCCUUUAUCUGGGGGAUAGCCUUUCGAAAGGAAGAUUAAUACCCCAUAAUAUACUGAAUGGCAUCAUUCGGUAUUGAAAACUCCGGUGGAUAGAGAUGGGCACGCGCAAGAUUAGAUAGUUGGUGAGGUAACGGCUCACCAAGUCUACGAUCUUUAGGGGGCCUGAGAGGGUGAUCCCCCACACUGGUACUGAGACACGGACCAGACUCCUACGGGAGGCAGCAGUGAGGAAUAUUGGACAAUGGGUGAGAGCCUGAUCCAGCCAUCCCGCGUGAAGGACGACGGCCCUAUGGGUUGUAAACUUCUUUUGUAUAGGGAUAAACCUACCCUCGUGAGGGUAGCUGAAGGUACUAUACGAAUAAGCACCGGCUAACUCCGUGCCAGCAGCCGCGGUAAUACGGAGGGUGCAAGCGUUAUCCGGAUUUAUUGGGUUUAAAGGGUCCGUAGGCGGAUCUGUAAGUCAGUGGUGAAAUCUCACAGCUUAACUGUGAAACUGCCAUUGAUACUGCAGGUCUUGAGUGUUGUUGAAGUANCUGGAAUAANUAGUGUAGCGGUGAAAUGCAUAGAUAUUACUUAGAACACCAAUUGCNAAGGCAGGUUACUAAGCAACAACUGACGCUGA